rnacentral:lncRNA from 1 species
AUAAGGAGAGGGAUGGGGAUUAUAGGGAUCAGAAAAGAAGAUACAGUAGGUCAUACUGAGUGGGUUGACUUGUCCCCCUUCCUCCCAUGUACACUUGUCACAUGGGCUUUGCUGCCAGCUCAAUGCAAGCAAGUUUAAUGGUGAUUUGACCGUUAGUCAAUUGGGGGCAUUUUUAUUGGGUACUCUUUUUAGAGGUAUUU